GACGAACGCUGGCGGCGUGCUUAACACAUGCAAGUCGAACGGAAAGGCCCUGCUUUUGUGGGGUGCUCGAGUGGCGAACGGGUGAGUAACACGUGAGUAACCUGCCCUUGACUUUGGGAUAACUUCAGGAAACUGGGGCUAAUACCGGAUAGGAGCUCCUGCUGCAUGGUGGGGGUUGGAAAGUUUCGGCGGUUGGGGAUGGACUCGCGGCUUAUCAGCUUGUUGGUGGGGUAGUGGCUUACCAAGGCUUUGACGGGUAGCCGGCCUGAGAGGGUGACCGGCCACAUUGGGACUGAGAUACGGCGCAGACUCCUACGGGAGGCAGCAGGGGGGAAUAUGGCACAAUGGGCGGAAGCCUGAUGCAGCAACGCCGCGUGCGGGAUGACGGCCUUCGGGUGGUAAACCGCUUUCGCCUGUGACGAAGCGUGAGUGACGGUAAUGGGUAAAGAAGCACCGGCUAACUACGUG
rnacentral:rRNA from 1 species